AAAAAAAAAAAAGCUUUUCCGAGGAUCCGGCAAGAUGGCGGAGGUAGAGCAGAAGAAGCAGCUGACCUUCCGGAAGUUCACCUACCGCGGCGUGGACCUGGACCAGCUGCUGGACUUGUCCUACGGCGGCGGCUGAACCGGGGCCUUCGGUGGAAGCAGCACUCGCUGCUGAAACGCCUGCGCAAAGCCAAGAAGGAGGCGCCGCCCAUGGAGAAGCCGGAAGUGGUGAAGAUGCACCUGCGAGACAUGAUCAUCCUGCCCCAGGUGGUGGGCAGCAUGGUGGGCGUCUACAACGGCAAGACUUUCAACCAAGUGGAGAUCAAGCUGGAGAUGAUCGGCCACUACCUGGGCGAGUUCUCCAUCACCUACAAGGCCGUGAAGCACGGCCGGCCAGGCAUCAGGGCCACUCACUCCUCCCGCUUCAUCCCCCUCAAGUAGUGGCUCUGCUAAUAAAGGCACACAGAUCUCCAAAAAAAAAAAAAA